rnacentral:rRNA from 1 species
AUUGAACGCUGGCGGCAGGCCUAACACAUGCAAGUCGAAUGGUAACAGGAAACAGCUUGCUGUUUCGCUGACGAGUGGCGGACGGGUGAGUAAUGUCUGGGAAACUGCCUGAUGGAGGGGGAUAACUACUGGAAACGGUAGCUAAUACCGCAUAACGUCGCAAGACCAAAGAGGGGGACCUUCGGGCCUCUUGCCAUCAGAUGUGCCCAGAUGGGAUUAGCUAGUAGGUGGGGUAACGGCUCACCUAGGCGACGAUCCCUAGCUGGUCUGAGAGGAUGACCAGCCACACUGGAACUGAGACACGGUCCAGACUCCUACGGGAGGCAGCAGUGGGGAAUAUUGCACAAUGGGCGCAAGCCUGAUGCAGCCAUGCCGCGUGUAUGAAGAAGGCCUUCGGGUUGUAAAGUACUUUCAGCGGGGAGGAAGGGAGUAAAGUUGAUACCUUUGCUCAUUGACGUUACCCGCAGAAGAAGCACCGGCUAACUCCGUG